GUUAAAGUGAGAGUCAUGCCUAGUGGUUGGUUCCUAUUGCUGCGUUUCUGGCUUAGGGUUGAUGGAGUGCUUAUGAGACUAAGAGACACUCGUUUGCAUUGUUUAUUUGGGGAGCAUAACAAAUCCUCUAUUCUUCGUGAAAGCUGCUGGAGAGAAACCACAUUUCAGGCCUUGUCUUCGAAAGGAUAUCCCUCUGAUGCUGCU
rnacentral:misc_RNA from 1 species